ACUCCCUCAACCCUCCUCUCUCAUUCACUCUCGCUCAGUAUUUCUCUCACCACAACUUGGAGAAACCCUAGCAGCUCCUCUCCACUCACCGCUCAUCGUCACUCAUCACCACUACAACUCCACCCCAAAGAACAUCGGUCCACCACCAUUAACUCCACCUCGGCGAACACCACCACCACCACUCUCAUCUCAUUUUUUCACUGACUUUCACGACGAGCAACAACAUUUGAACUUGUGAGUUUUGGGGUGUUGGAAUUUGCUGAGAUGAAUUUCUUGUCAAAAGCUUCUCCAAACAGUCUUGACCUGAUGCUCAACAGUUUGAACUAUUGUUUUGUUACACUGAUGUGUUUAUUUGGGUAUAUGGAGCAUGGAAACAGUAGCAGUCAAAGAACUCAAAGAACCAUAGAGCAAGAUCCACUAAAUUCAAACUUGACUUUGUUAGUGAACCAUGGCCAUCAAUAUCAGACAAUGUUAAAGAUCUAGUCAGGAAGAUACUGAAUCUGGAUCCAAAGAAGAGAAUUCCUUCUACACAAG